rnacentral:rRNA from 1 species
GAUAAACGCUGGCGGCGUGCAUGAGACAUGCAAGUCGAACGAACGCCCCCGGGCUUGCCUGAGGGUGUUAGUGGCGAACGGCUGAGUAACGCGUAGGUGACCUGCCCGGAAGUGGGGAAUAACUGCCCGAAAGGGUGGCUAAUACCGCAUGUGGCCACACGUUCAUUCGUGUGACCAAAGCCGCAAGGCGCUUCCGGAGGGGCCUGCGUUCGAUUAGCUCGUUGGUGGGGUAACGGCUCACCAAGGCGACGAUCGAUAGGUGGUCUGAGAGGGUGAUCACCCAGACUGGGACUGAGACACGGCCCAGACUCCUACGGGAGGCAGCAGUCGGGAAUUUUGCUCAAUGGGCGUAAGCCUGAAGCAGCAACGCCGCGUGAGGGAUGAAGGCCUUCGGGUUGUAAACCUCUUUUCUCAGGGACGAUGAUGACGGUACCUGAGGAAUAAGCCACGGCUAACUACGUGCCAGCAGCCGCCGUAAUAC